UUCCAGCCCGAGGAGGAGGAAGAUGACGGAGCACAGCGAGCGAAAGCCAAGACCAAAAAAAAGCAGUGGUGGAGGCCGUGGGUUGACCAUGCUUCCAUGGUUAGAAGUGGAGACUAUUACUUGUUUGAAACUGACAGUGAAGAGGAAGAAGAAGAGGAGGAGGAGAAAAAGGAGGACGAUCAGCCAAAGAAGUCUGCG